ensembl:lncRNA
GGGAUUGCUUACCUGCACUGAUGGGGGCGGGCAGCCGGCGCUGAACCUGUCCGGCUUCGGGAAGGAGCUCACCAGGCCCUGCCUCCUUCCAUUCCAACAAGGGCCAGUAGCCACAGUCCAGCCCCAAUAUCAAGAGCAUAGCUCUGAGUUUAUUUACCUCCUAUAAGCUCGGGACUUCUCUGGUGGUCCAGCGGCUAAGACUCCACGCUACGAAGUGCGAGGGGCCUGCGCUCAAUUCCUGGCUGGGGAGCUGGAUUCCACGUGCCGCAGCUGAAGAUUCCGCAUGCUGCAGCUAAGGCCCAGGGCAGCCAAAUAAAUAAACAGGAAAAAACGAAACCAAAAACCUGUCCACACCCUGCCCCAGAGCCCUCUUUCUCAUCCCAGCCCAGUCCUGUGUCAUCAGGACACGGCCUCUUAGCUGCCACUGUUCCCCAACCAGGUCACCUGAGUGGCAGGAGGUCUGAUGACCUCGGAGAGCUUGGGGCCACCUGCCCUGGCACGGGCCGGGGGAGGCCGGGGUUCUGCCCAAGGCUACCGGGCGCUCCCCACUAGGACAAGGGCACAGGCUCAGGGGGUCAGGAUCUCCUGACUGACGCCGGCAGCCCACUCCCUUGAAUCUUUACGGGGUUACAAUCCUGAUCCUCGUUUUUGCCCCUCACCCUGCCCGGUGCGUGGUUAAAUC